rnacentral:rRNA from 1 species
UACGUAGGGUGCGAGCGUUGUCCGGAAUUAUUGGGCGUAAAGGGCUCGUAGGCGGUUUGUCGCGUCGGGAGUGAAAACCUUGGGCUUAACUCAGGCUGCUUUCGAUACGGGCAGACUAGAGGUAUGCAGGGGAGAACGGAAUUCCUGGUGUAGCGGUGAAAUGCGCAGAUAUCAGGAGGAACACCGGUGGCGGAAGGCGGUUCUCUGGGCAUGAUCUGACGCUGAGGAGCGAAAGUGUGGGGAGCGAACAGG